rnacentral:rRNA from 1 species
GUUGUAUAGUCAAGUAAUUAAGUGCAUGUGGUGGAUGCCUUGGCAGUCAGAGGCGAUGAAAGACGUGAUAGCCUGCGAAAAGCUCCGGGGAGGCGGCAAAUAUCCUUUGAUCCGGAGAUGUCUGAAUGGGGGAACCCACCUACUUUAAGGUAGGUAUUGCAACAUGAAUACAUAGUGUUGCAAGGCGAACGAGGGGAAGUGAAACAUCUCAGUACCCUUAGGAAAAGAAAUCAAUUGAGAUUCCCUCAGUAGCGGCGAGCGAACGGGGAUCAGCCCAUUAAGUUAUGUGUGUUUUAGUGGAACGCUCUGGGAAGUGCGAACGUAGAGGGUGAUAUUCCCGUACACGAAAGGGCACACAUAAUGAUGACGAGUAGGGCGAGGCACGUGAAACCUUGUCUGAAUAUGGGGGGACCAUCCUCCAAGGCUAAAUACUCCUGACUGACCGAUAGUGAACCAGUACCGUGAGGGAAAGGCGAAAAGAACCCCUGUGAGGGGAGUGAAAUAGAUCCUGAAACCGCAUGCAUACAAGCAGUGGGAGCACCUUCGUGGUGUGACUGCGUACCUUUUGUAUAAUGGGUCAGCGACUUAUAUUCAGUAGCGAGGUUAACCGUAUAGGGGAGCCGUAGAGAAAUCGAGUCUUAAUAGGGCGUUUAGUUGCUGGGUAUAGACCCGAAACCAGGCGAUCUAUCCAUGAGCAGGUUGAAGGUUGGGUAACACUAACUGGAGGACCGAACCCACUGUCGUUGAAAAGCCAGGGGAUGACUUGUGGAUAGGGGUGAAAGGCUAAUCAAGCCUGGUGAUAGCUGGUUCUCCCCGAAAGCUAUUUAGGUAGCGCCUCGGACGAAUACCAUAGGGGGUAGAGCACUGUUUCGGCUAGGGGGUCAUCCCGACUUACCAAACCGAUGCAAACUCCGAAUACCUAUGAGUACUAUCCGGGAGACAGACUGCGGGUGCUAACGUCCGUAGUCAAGAGGAAAACAAUCCAGACCGCCAGCUAAGGCCCCAAAAUCAUAGUUAAGUGGGAAACGAUGUGGGAAGGCAUAGACAGCUAGGAGGUUGGCUUAGAAGCAGCCACCCUUUAAAGAAAGCGUAAUAGCUCACUAGUCGAGUCGGCCUGCGCGGAAGAUGUAACGGGGCUAAAACUAUGUGCCGAAGCUGCGGAUGUAUACUUUGUAUACGUGGUAGGGGAGCGUUCUGUAAGCCGAUGAAGGUGUGUUGAGAAGCAUGCUGGAGGUAUCAGAAGUGCGAAUGCUGACGUGAGUAACGACAAAACGGGUGAAAAACCCGUUCGCCGAAAGACCAAGGGUUCCAGUCCAACGUUAAUCGGGGCUGGGUGAGUCGACCCCUAAGGCGAGGCCGAAAGGCGUAGUCGAUGGGAAAAUGGUUAAUAUUCCAUUACUUCUGUGUAAUGCGAUGAGAGGACGGAGAAGGCUAAAUCAGCCUGGCGUUGGUUGUCCAGGUGAAAGGAUGUAGGCAUGUAUCUUAGGCAAAUCCGGGGUACUCUAUGCUGAGAUCUGAUAGCAAGCUGUACUUGUACAGCGAAGUGGUUGAUGCCAUGCUUCCAGGAAAAGUCUCUAAGCUUCAGUUACACAGGAAUCGUACCCGAAACCGACACAGGUGGUCAGGUCGAGUAGACCAAGGCGCUUGAGAGAACUCUGCUGAAGGAACUAGGCAAAAUGGUACCGUAACUUCGGGAGAAGGUACGCUGUUGUUGGUGAUGGAACUCGCUUCCUGAGCUGACGACAGCCGCAGAAACCAGGCCGCUGCAACUGUUUAUUAAAAACAUAGCACUCUGCAAACACGAAAGUGGACGUAUAGGGUGUGAUGCCUGCCCGGUGCUGGAAGGUUAAUUGAUGGGGUUAGCGUAAGCGAAGCUCUUGAUCGAAGCCCCAGUAAACGGCGGCCGUAACUAUAACGGUCCUAAGG